AGAAUUGACGGGACCCGCACAAGCGGUGGAUGAUGUGGUUUAAUUCGAUGCAACGCGAAAACCUUACCCACCUUUGACAUGUACGGAAUCCUUUAGAGAUAGAGGAGUGCUCGAAAGAGAGCCGUAACACAGGUGCUGCAUGGCUGUCGUCAGCUCGUGUCGUGAGAUGUUGGGUUAAGUCCCGCAACGAGCGCAACCCUUGUCAUUAGUUGCUACAUUCAGUUGGGCACUCUAAUGAGACUGCCGGUGACAAACCGGAGGAAGGUGGGGAUGACGUCAAGUCCUCAUGGCCCUUAUAGGUGGGGCUACACACGUCAUACAAUGGUCGGUACAGAGGGUUGCCAACCCGCGAGGGGGAGCUAAUCCCACAAAGCCGAUCGUAGUCCGGAUCGCAGUCUGCAACUCGACUGCGUGAAGUCGGAAUCGCUAGUAAUCGUGGAUCAGCAUGUCACGGUGAAUACGUUCCCGGGUCUU
rnacentral:rRNA from 1 species